GUUAUUUAAAUGCAAAUACAAAUUAAUGGACAUAUUUCAUAAAAUCUUUAAUAGAUUAUUUAAAGAAAAUUCAAACAUCUUUUGAGAUUUUACGCCUAUUUAGAGGCCUGCUGACAAAUCGUUAUGCCGCUGUUCACACCUUCGUGAUAUAAUUUCUUUUUUUUGUUAUUUUCUCAGUGUUUGUUUAUAUGAAUUUGUUGAUGCGGCUGUGUUACUGCUAUUGUCCUCAGCUGUGCGUGCUGACAUAUCAACCAAGCCAAAGUUGCCAGAUUUUUACACUUAGUCAAAAUCAAUAAAAGAACAGUAAAUAUAAAUAAAUAAAAAACAAAAAAAAGUAUUAACAAAAUAAAUUAAAAAAGAAAAUUAUGCUCAAAAUUAACGAAAAUCGUGUUAAAAUUAUCACAAUCAUUAUCAAACACUAAUACCAAUUCUUAAUAGACUGUCUAGAGUGCCUUUUUUCUGUUGCUUAGAGAAGAAACAAAAAAAGGAAAGUCGAAAAAAGUGAAAGUUUUUCGCAUCUAUAUGAAUGUAAAUCAAAAAACAAAAAAAAAAAAAAAACAAAACGAAAUAAAAGCUUCCCCGAUAGUGCAGAAACUACACGAAUGUUUAUUUUUUACAUAUGUACAUAUGGCCUAACUUAUUAUCAUCAUAUCCAUAUAAAGCAAAACGAAAAAUAAAUGAAUUUCUAAUAACUCGAAUACCAAAACAAAAUCACCUGCAUUAGAAACAUAAAAAAAAAAAGCAAACAAAUUGUUAAUCAAAAACAAAAAAAAAAAAAAAAAGCAACGCCCGUAGUAAUUUCUCUCUCAUCAUUUGUCGAGAGUGCUUUUUACAUUAACAUUUGCUCAUCGUUUCAUAUGCGAAUUCUCUCCUUCUUAUAAAUGCAGUUGUCGCCGGUUUAUUUUUACGUUUGACAUUUUCUUGCCCAAUACCUAAGAUUGCGGUAUGUAAACAAACAAAAAGCUAAGUAUAAAAUCAAAUCGAAAAUCGUAAAGUAGGAAUAGGUGAACGUGCAUGUGUGUGCCUGUGUGUUUAUAUGUAUGAAACGUAUUGAAGCCUUAUACGGUCUAGAAGAGUUAAUUAUUAUUUAAAGUCAUAAAGGCUUACGUACGAUAUUCGAAGUUGCAGUUUGCUAAGAUACGAUUAAAAAUGAUGCAUCAACCACGUUUCAUUUCGGCAGCGUCCAUAACACAAAUAGCACCACCGCAAGGUAGUAUGAGACCAGCAAUGCCGCCACAAUUGACGUCGCAGCGAUCACAAACAUUUACUAACUCUUAGUGAAAUUUAUUAAAGCGUAAAAAUUAAAAUUGAAAAAAGAAUUCCUUAAAAGUUUGUCACUUCAUAAUUCCUAAA